rnacentral:rRNA from 1 species
GAUGAGCAUGCGUCCCAUUAGCUAGUUGGUAAGGUAACGGCUUACCAAGGCAACGAUGGGUAGGGGUCCUGAGAGGGAGAUCCCCCACACUGGUACUGAGACACGGACCAGACUCCUACGGGAGGCAGCAGUGAGGAAUAUUGGUCAAUGGGCGCAAGCCUGAACCAGCCAUGCCGCGUGCAGGAUGACGGUCCUAUGGAUUGUAAACUGCUUUUGUACAGGAAGAAACAGUUCUACGUGUAGAACCUUGACGGUACUGUAAGAAUAAGGAUCGGCUAACUCCGUGCCAGCAGCCGCGGUAAUACGGAGGAUCCAAGCGUUAUCCGGAAUCAUUGGGUUUAAAGGGUCCGUAGGCGGUUUUGUAAGUCAGUGGUGAAAGCCCAUCGCUCAACGGUGGAACGGCCAUUGAUACUGCAAGACUUGAAUUAUUGGGAAGUAACUAGAAUAUGUAGUGUAGCGGUGAAAUGCUUAGAGAUUACAUGGAAUACCAAUUGCGAAGGCAGGUUACUACCAAUAUAUUGA